AUACCGAAAUAAGAAUCCGACAGCUAUUCAUUGAGUUUUUCUCUCGCAUAAAACCUAUCAAACCUUAACUUUUAAAAGACAACAAAGUCGCAUGAAGAACACAUUUAUCGAGAGAGUUGAACUAGAAACAGAAACUGCAAAUUACAGAGAUAGAAAUGAAAAAAAGGGAGAGCAAGUGCAACAUCACACCCAUAGACGUACUAUCUUGUCAAACAUUUCGUCUUAAUUCAUUUGUCCACGGGAGAUUUUACGAAUCUCCACUUCUGCUUCGUACUGCUUGGUGAAUUGAGUUACUAAGUAAUAUUCUGAGGUAUAUUAAAAAAAGAAGUCACCACCAAUGAAUUUGUUUUUUCUAAACAAUCUAAAUUUUCAAAGUAAUAAUAUAUGAUGGAAAUCUCAAGAUUACCUUUACCAACGUAAAGCAAAAAGCCAGUAGACGUCCAUGCGCCAGCAUCAAAAGUCUUAAAAGAUGGAAUAACCUUCGUCUUCGCGGCGACUAGGAAGUCAUACAUCUCUUCUCCGAAUAGAACAAUAACAGCAAAUAAAACUCACCGAAAAACAACCAAAACGAACCGAGAAUGGUAUAGAUCUGAGAACUUUACCGUUGCUGCUACCAGGCGAUGAAGAGAAAUUGCGGCGAGACCGAAUCGAUCUCAAGCCCUGUAAAAACUUUGGUUAAUCGAUGGAACACAGAAAAGGAGAAAGUAGAAAACAUAAUCAUAUAUCUCGAUCUACCUGUGCAACGAUAGAUCUCAGAUUCGGCGUCAUGACCUGAAACUAGGGUUUCACUUUUCUGUCUGAUUUCGUCAAGACGGGGCUUAAAUAAGUUUUUCUACGGUCGGUCAGGCCUUAGCCAGAGUUUAUGACCUUAUUAAUUCUAUUGUUGGGCCUUAGCCCAAUUUCUUUUCGGGCCCGGAGUUUAUGACCUUUUAAUCCGCCUAUAAUGUUGGGCCUUAGCCCAAUUUAUUUUCGGAUCCGGAGUUUAUGAUCUUUUAAUCCGCCAAUCACGUUAUUUCCCUAGUUGUUCAAAUCAACGGCCUUGAAAUGACGACGCCUGAUUUCGAGAGACCUAAAUAAAACGAUAAGAGACGACCGGAAGAAAAUUCGACUGAAGAAGAUGUCGAUUCGGUGAAGGUAAUUCAUAUGGUGACUCCGAAUAAACGAGCCCAGCGAGUAGUUGAAUUCUUCCACAACAUAAGGGGGCAGGGUUGCGUGCGUGUCAUAGAUGCACAACCUGAGCGAGAAAUAGCUAAGGGACUAGAUCGGUUAUUUCAGUUGCAAAGAAAGAGAGGGCUAGAGCUAAUUUUUAUAAGCUAAUGUGUUAAGCAUAUAUGCUCAAAAUAACCUUAGCCCGGAAACAACUCCUCAAUCAAUUAUAAGGGUCGCUGAGUUUGGUUGCGUCCAUAAAAAUGGGAAGUGGAGUGGUGAGGCGGAGAAUAUUCAUUAAUGAUUAUUAACGAUUAGGCAGAGAAUAGUUUCAUUUUAGUCUGGAGAGAGACUCACAGGAACUCGCCGGAGAAAGUGUGAAAUCGAAGAAGAAGAUGAAGAAGCCAUUGUUGUUGAAUAGAAGAGUGACUAUUCCAGCUCAUAAAAGAAAAAGAAAUUAUUGAUACAGCGCGAAUCGAUCCCUGUUGCCAGAAUUGUGACCGGAGAAGAAGAAGGCACAAAUCAUAUGAAGCAACAAUGGCAAUUCAUGAUCCUCUGCUUGUUCACCUUGUUUCUAGUGGCGGAUGCUCGUGAUAGACGGUAACAACUUUUACACAAGUUUCUGGCGGGUAAUUGGAAUUAGAAGAAAUUGGUUUCAGCUGCUACUCAAGUUACCGGUCAGAGGGGACUCGUUGACGAGUAGGCAAACUCAUUAAUGAAGAAGGCCAGCCUUGUAAAAUGGGGGAAGAAAGAUUGCUCGGAUCCAAUUAUGGCACAAAGAGGAAAUAGGAUUCAGGGAUGAACUAAAACCACUGUGCUGGAUCUAAUUAAGACAUACUCGAAUCUAAACCAACUGGCUGAUGACGAACGAUCGAAACAUUCCAUGUUAGCAUUUCUGUAUAAUGACUCGUCCUCUUCACAUUGUUACCUGAUUUAUAUAUGCUUCCUUCAUCAUUGGGAGGUAUCAUUAACUUACAUGUUAACCAUAAUAGUUCACAUAAGCAGAUUCUAUAACUUGUAUCACAUCAGUUGCAAAUCAGAGAUCAUGUGUAAUCAAAAAUAACACACCCACAUACAUUCGACAAAAGUAAAGACAACUCCAUAAUUUAUAUGUCUGACUAGUCCACAGUGACACGGAAUACAAAGCUUAAAAAAUAACUAGAAAUUUCGUCCAGUUAUCUUCCUUUGGCAUCACAGGAUUACUCCAAUUUACUCUGUGCACAACAAAGAUAAUGACUAGUCCUCCCCUCUAGCCAUUUUCCACAGAUCCCUUGACGGAUGUCUUACUAUCACCAAACCUUAAAACCACACACACACAAACACAAAGUUUUUAAAAUCAAAUUCAUUCAAGUACUGAAAAAAUUCUCUCUCCCUCUCGAUCCAUACCUAACAAAUAUCCCCCACCCAGGCAAAGACCUCGUUUUGCAAGAUCAUCAAAGGUGAGCGAUGAGAAAGUCCCGCCUCCGCCCGUGGAGGCUACAAUCACAAAUCAGAGAUUUUUGUUUUACAUCCGAAUAUAAAACGAACCGAGAAUGGUAUAGAUCUGAGAACUUUACCGUUGCUGCUACCAGGCGAUGAAGAGAAAUUGCGGCGAGACCGAAUCGAUCUCAAGCCCUGUAAAAACUUUGGUUAAUCGAUGGAACACAGAAAAGGAGAAAGUAGAAAACAUAAUCAUAUAUCUCGAUCUACCUGUGCAACGAUAGAUCUCAGAUUCGGCGUCAUGACCUGAAACUAGGGUUUCACUUUUCUGUCUGAUUUCGUCAAGACGGGGCUUAAAUAAGUUUUUCUACGGUCGGUCAGGCCUUAGCCAGAGUUUAUGACCUUAUUAAUUCUAUUGUUGGGCCUUAGCCCAAUUUCUUUUCGGGCCCGGAGCUUAUGACCUUUUAAUCCGCCUAUA
rnacentral:lncRNA from 1 species